AGUAAAUUGCAUUUAACCGGACAAAAAAAAAAUGUCAUUCUCAUCUUGAUUUUCUUACACUUCUGAAAAUUUGAAUUUCGGGAAGCAUAACAAGAAAACUAGUGGAUUGCUUGCACUGGUUGCAGUCCCCCAGUUUAUCUCUCUAGGAUUUACAUUUAAGUUGGUUUAUAGCUCUAUUUUCGCGGCUGAGGACGUCUGAUGAAAAGCAUCACUUGGAGUCGAAGGCCGGCGCCGGGGCUUCCAAAACUUAUGGACAGUAGGCGAUGGAUUAUCCAUAAGAAGGGAUACAUUGUUAUCAAGGAUCGGGCCUUGCAAGGUUGUUGAAGUUUCAAACCUCCAAAACUGGAAAGCUAACAUCAUUUCGUGGGCAAUCACAUCUCCACUUGGAAGAAACUUGAAUAUGUUGUCCCCUCUGUGAGCAUGGAUGGAUACUCUCUUUAUGCUUCUGCAUGCAAUAUUAACUUCACAUUUUGUAGGGUGAGGAUUAAGGUAAUUUUGAUUGAAUUGCAGGUUCCAUAUGUAACUCACUCGCACUGAAUUAGAGGACAUGGUCACUAAAUUUAAUUUUAAUAAUGUCACUGUAAAUGAGCAAAUAGUCACAUUUCUUUUAUCAUUACAUGACCAUAAUUAAUAAAAAAUAUAUUUUCUACUCUAUAUUUAUUGUGACAACCUAAAAGUUUUUUUGCCUAGUUAUUAUCCUUAAUUAUCAAUCUCAAAUGUAAAAGCUCUGAAAAUGUCAUUCUCUAACUACAGGACUGUAGUUUUUCAAUGGGAUUUUGAUUAUUUAAUUUAUCAGAUUCACAGAAUAUUUAUAAGUACAUAUGAUGAUAACAUCAUAUUCAAAAUCCAAAGAGUUCUGAGCCGUUGAAUCACACAUAAUGAUAUCAUUAUAUGUCAAUCCAACAGUUCACGAUCCAUAAGGUACAAGCCCACGUGAGCAACCUCAACACAUUUCAUGAAUUCUAUAGUUGAGAGAA